GGUUGCCCCUUUCACGUUACGUCGCAUAACACUUCCUUCUGUCCUGCUGGACUGAGAACUCCUUAAGCUCAGGAACUCUCUCACCAACGUCUGUGCCUCUUCCCAGCACUGGGCCUGGACCAUAGUAAAUGCUCAGUGGAUGGGAGAUUAUCAGUGGUAUGUGACUAAAUUAUUCUGCUCAAGAGAAAGAAAAAGCUUCUCUCAAACAUUUUAGAAUCGAGCAUUUGUAAUAAAAAAUCACCCCAGCAUUUGUCGUUACUACCCAGAGACCUUGGUGAGGGAUAUAUAUGGGUAAUUUCACUUAAUCCUCAAAACAGGAGACCAAGUGCUCACACUUGCCCGUUUCUUAACUGCUGCUUUGUCUUGACAAAACUCAAGUGGGGCUUCUCUCGUCCCCACAGGCCCCUGAACUCUGCCUGCCUUGGGCCUGGGCAGGCUCUAAGGCCUCCCUUUAUCAGCGUAUCCUGGGAAUGGCUGACCACAGCGAGACACGCUUCCCGCCAGACCCCGGCCAUCACGCUCCCUGCUUGCCCAACUCCCAUGGCUGCUGAGAUCUCCUUACCCCUCCCCAUAAAAGAAAAGCCUUUUCUGUUUGGUUCUGAGCUACCUGCAGAUUCCUGAGAUUGGAGACUCUCCUGUUCGCGAUGGUCUUUUCGAAUAAAGUUUCUCCUUAUCGAAGUCCAGGUUUGUUUUUAUUUGACACAACUCUAUGAUUUAGAAACGAUGCUCAGAACAUUUCACAUAAGAGUAAACUGAGGCUUAGAAAAAAUAAAUAACUUUCCCAGGGCCCCAUAAGGGGCCCCAUAAACAGCCAAUGGGAAGUCCAGGAUCCAAACUCAUCUGAGGGUGAGAGGUCACACUCAGCCGCUGUGCUACACACACCUCACGCCUGCUUUCACCAGCAUCGGGGAAGACCUGCUUCACUACGCUCAAAGUUCAUCUACAGACCCGAAAGCACUAAAAUUCUAUGUCGUGUCAAUUUAUACUGUUUAUUAGUCCAUGCCAACCUGAAAACUAUCAAUUAAAAUAUUAUAAUGAAAAUUAGUAUUAUUAUUGUGUGUGUGCAAGGAAGAUUGGCCCUGAGCGAACACCUGUGCCAUCUUCCUCUAUUUUAUGUAUUACGCUUCGACGAGCGAUGAGGUCUGUGCCCAGGAUCCAAACCUGUGAACCUAGGGCUGCUGAAGUGGAGCACAUGAACUUAACAGCUAUGCCACUGGGCCCACCCCAAAGUUAGUAUUUUUAUAUCAUCUUGCAAAGCGCCAACAUAAAGACGACCAUACAGUCUCCCCAGGUGCUCACACCUAUGCUUAUUAUUUCUACAUAAUGAUUUGAUAUUAAAUAAAUCAUUGUGUGGAGGAAGCCAGAAUGCAGACGCAGAUUUCUAUAAUCCUCAGGGUUAAAAAAAGAAGAAAAGAAAAGGCAGUUUUCUAAGCUCCCGCCUCUCCUGCGGGAGCCACGGGCUUCCCUGUCACCUGUGCCUGCCCCCGUGGAGAGCUGACACUCGCGGAGCACGCACUCUGAUGUGGCCAUCAGUCUCCACAUGCGUCAAACCCCUGUAACAGUCACAACCCUCAAGGGUGCUUGUGCUAUUAUUAUGACCCUUACUGGAGAAGUGAGGGAACUGAGGCAGGAAGAGGUUGAGCAAGAAGCCCAAGGUCACAGAGAGAGCUGGUGGCAGAGCUGGCAUGAAACCCAGGACACCUGUCCAGAGCCUGGACUUCCCUCCUCUCCCCCCCGCCCCGCCAGGCUCCUGCCAUGUCACCCCGCGUGUCAACACAAAGACUGUCCCACUGCAGCUCUGCUGCCUUCCAGGCAAAGGUUCAGCUCAUUCUCAAGAAAGCUCCAUGGGCCGAGUUCAGUGAAAAUGAGCAGCAGGCACUGCAAACAUUGGGCCAAAGAGGGAAAACCACUGGGAGUUGCUGGCGAUGGUGUGCGGCUACGAAUGCCGGAUCUAGGCUACUUUCAAGCACGUGUCUUCACUUUCCUGGCUUCUUCGGGAAUGUUUGGGGCUCACUGUUUCAGUGUGCAGCACUUCCUGGAGCAGAGAAAGACGCAGAACUGGAGGCUGACUUAGUAACUGUGUGGUGCUGGAAAAGCUUCUCAUUCUCCAGGCCUCAGGUUCCUCGCCUGUAAAUGACAGUGAUGAGUCAGGCUGGUGCUCAGUUCUCCCUGGUGCUAUCAUGCUCUAACUGGGAUUGGCAGAGGUAGCCUGGGUUAUUAAAAUCUGCGUCCACAGAGCUUAGCUCCUUUGGAGAGCUUUUAAAAAUCCGCGUGUUGGGCCCCACCUCCAGAUACUGAUUUAAUUAAAGGAGACGGGGCUCAGGCACCAGUGCUUCUUGUUUUUAACUCAGGUGAUUCUGCUAAGGAGGCAGCUCUGAGAACCAUGGCUCUGGAGAGUUCUCAAACUUGUGUAUUCAUCAAAAAUACCUGGAGGGCUUUUUCCCACCCCAAACUUUCUUAUUCAGUAGGCUUGGGUGUGGGGCAUUUCUGGUAAGUUCCCAGGAAAUCCUGAUGCUGCUGGCUCAGAAUCCACACUUGGAGAACGCCACAGGUUUUCACCCCCUUUGAAAUGCAGCAGAUCUCGCUGGCAAAGGAUUUAUAGGUGAGUGCAAAGAAGGACACAAAAAUAUCGGUAUUCGGCAUGUCUGCUUGCCUGCGCCGGUGCCCCAGCCCUUCCCCAGCCUCGUCUGCUGGACACCACACCGGCACAAAGCCGUCUGCUGCCCACUGACGGUGACUUGGGCCCAGCCUGUCGCUCGGCAGAAAAUUCCUCUAGGUUUGGCCAUCUUUCUAACAAAACCAAUUUUUCUCUAUCUCCCCAUCGAGGAACAUCUUCCAAAAGCCUCAUUAAUUCAAGACAGGGAAGUGCAAGAAAAGUCAACCAAAGUCGGUGCCAUCCGAAGGAAGGUCACAGCGUGAAAGACAACAUUCUCACAAUCAUGGUCGUUCAUCCAGCAGACGUUUUGAAAAUAUUUUUGAACAGUGUACCAGGCAGGCAUCGUUCAGGGUGCUAGAUACAGAACCAGCAGAAGUCCCAGCUGGCGGAGUGCGGCAGGCUGACAAAGAAGGAGCUCACUGUUGGAUGGUGGUACCCAGGUAGAGAAAAGACGGCCCAGGAGGAACAGAGGGGACGAUCCCCAAAAGAAGGAAAGGAACAUUUAUCCACCACUUGUGAAAAACUGGGUCUUCUACACAGCUCACUUCUCCGAAUCCUCAGCACUCUCUUGUUGUGCCCUCUUUCUUACCAUAAUAGCCAAUUUUACACGUGAAGAAACUGAAGUUCCCAAACUUUAAGAGAUUGGCUGUGGCUGGGGUGUUAAUUAAUAGGUGGACAGUGCUGAACUUCUUGACUGGUUGUAGGAACGAAGCCCGGGGCAGAUUUGUAAAGGAGACUGCCCACAUGCCCUUUGUAACGCUCACACACCCUCCUCCUGCAGGACUUGCCAUGCUGCGUGGAAUGUUCCAGACCUCACCUUUCCCCAGUAAUGUUGACCCUUCUUCUCAUUCUCUGGAGCACUCCUCACACUCUAUGCCAAUUCCAUGCAUGGAUUCUCUCUCUAGAGUGCAAGGGGUUUGUGAAUGUUAAUCUCUGCUAAUCCUGUAAAUUGAUUUUCUCCAUUUUAUAGUCCAAUUAGUCACAUCGUCAUUACCCAGGCAAGAUAUUUGAGUGGGGCCUUUUUCUGGAAACAGUCCCUAAUCCUAACGGUGGAAAUGUCAGGCACUGUGGUUGGGCAGUAUGAACAUGCCUGCUGAAAUUACGUCAUUUAGGGAUUAGAGUCAUAGUUAAAAUACCAGUUUCUUACUCUCCAGUCUAACUAUCAGACUCUCAAAAAUGAUCUAAGAAAAAGGGUGUGUGUUUG
rnacentral:lncRNA from 1 species